ACGGACCUGUGCCCAGCGCUCCUCUGCCGCCAGCUCGUGCUUGCACUUGUAGGCAGCUAGGGUUGAGUGCUGAGGCAGUUCGGCAACCAAGGAGCCAUCCAGGACUUUACGUUCUUCCAUGAUGUCAAUUUCCAUCCGACAGGUCACCAGAAGAACCGAACUCCGGUGUGAACCUCGUUCGCCGCAAGGCUUGAGCUUGGGGAGCGCCGGAUGAUGUAGGGGAAGUCAUAUUCCAAUCCGUUCGCCGAGGACGUCGUCCUAUGAGGCUGGGGGAAACCAUGACAAUUGCCACAUUU
rnacentral:sRNA from 10 species